rnacentral:sRNA from 1 species
GCUGGGCAUGGUGGUGCACACCUGUAAUUCCAGCAGCUUGGGAGGCUGAGGCAGGGGGAUUGCAAGUUCAAAGCCAGCCUCAGCAAUUUAAUGAGGCCCUAAACAAUUUAGCGAAAUCCUAUCUCUA